CACGUAGGGGGCGAGCGUUGUCCGGAUUUAUUGGGCGUAAAGAGCUCGUAGGCGGCUAUUCAAGUCGAACGUGAAAUCUCGGAGCUCAACUCCGAAACUGCGUUCGAUACUGGGUAGCUAGAGUCUGGUAGGGGGAUCUGGAAUUCCUGGUGUAGCGGUGAAAUGCGCAGAUAUCAGGAGGAACACCAAUGGCGAAGGCAGCUCGCUGGGACGGUACUGACGCUGAGACGCGAAAGCGUGGGGAGCAAACAGG
rnacentral:rRNA from 1 species